CUUGUACCACAUUUGGUAACCGUAAGUCCAGAAUUACUUAUUUCCAUUUCAGGAGUUAAGAUAUUUUGGGCCAUGCAGAAGCCUUGAGGCUGGACUGCGGUGGGUCUGAAGACUGGUUUUCCUCCAGUUUACCCUUCCUCUGAGGGUCCAGUCCUUCAGGAUCACUCCACAAAGGGCAGGGAAUUUAUCAGGGUCCUGCUUUCGGCUGGGCCUGGAAUUCAAUAUCUUCUUGCUUUGCUCCAGGAAGCUAUCCAAACCUGCAUGAGUCACUAGGGGAAGUGUCCCAUUCUUGGUCAAAAUACUGCUGACAUCAUUGCCAUACCACUCUAUCACAACUAGGAAGCCAUCAAAUAAGGCCAGGAAACCACCAUAAUCAGUAUCUCACCACAAUAGCCACAGCUCUAUUGCUGGCUCUGGAAUCACACUGUGCCUGUAAGCAUCUGUACCAUCCGAAUGGAUGCCACAGGCCCUCCUCUCAACUUUCCAAGCCAGUGACCACAGCCCAGAACCUCUGUUAAUGGUACAGCAAAGAAACCACAUGUCUUCACAACCAGUGUGGCAUCAAGAACAACAGAUGCCUGGCCUCUGCUCCAGUUCUGCCAUAUUUGAUUGACAGAAUCUAAAGCACCUCCAGGAGUUAGGUUGCAAAGGAGUCUGGGAAAUGUAGCAUUUAGCUUUUGUGAUUUCUGUGGUAUAGAAGGUAGAAGAAAGAAGAAACAAUGGAUGUCCUGCUCCUAUUCCCCUGUCCACCCUGCAGUUGAAAUGCAAUUUAGUUACAGUUUGAAAACCUGCAAAAAUAAUGUAUAUCUUGCUUAUUGACUUUUGAUAUAUACCUAGGUACAGUAUAUCUAUAUACCUUUACCUGCAUAUCUCCAUACACAGUUACCAAAAAGGCAGCAAGAUCAGUAGUGAUUUGAAGCAUGGGUUCCAGAUUCAGCUGGUGUUCAAAUCUGUGUUUGUAUGUGAUGUGGGUACCUAUGUUUCCUCAAUCUCUCUCCCAGAUAUUUUAUUUCCCUAUCUCUAAAGUAAGUGGAAGGACAAUCUACCUUGAAAAAGUGUUGCCAGGCUCAAAUAAAAUAAUACAUGCAGUCAUCUAAGUGUAGUACCUAGCUCAUGAUUCCAUGAAGUAAACUGCAGUUCUUUUUGUUAUGAGUAGGAGAAGAUCGAGGUGGUAAAACGAACUGAUAUCAUCUUGACAAGUCACUUAAUUUUCU
rnacentral:lncRNA from 1 species